ACGCUCGACACCUACGGGGGGCAGCAGUGGGGAAUAUUGCACAAUGGGGGAAACCCUGAUGCAGCGACGCCGCGUGAGCGAAGAAGUAUUUCGGUAUGUAAAGCUCUAUCAGCAGGGAAGAUAAUGACGGUACCUGACUAAGAAGCUCCGGCUAAAUACGUGCCAGCAGCCGGCGGUAAUCUGAGCGGGCUGGCAAGGC
rnacentral:rRNA from 1 species